CCGGCGACCGGCGCACGGGUGAGUAACACGUAUGCAACCUGCCCGUCUCAGGGGGAUAAUCGUCGGAAACGGCGUCUAAUACCCCGUAUGAAGCUGGACGGCAUCGUCUGGUUUUGAAAGAAUAUCGGAGACGGAUGGGCAUGCGGCGCAUUAGCUAGUUGGCGGAGUAACGGCCCACCAAGGCGACGAUGCGUAGGGGUUCUGAGAGGAAGGUCCCCCACACUGGUACUGAGACACGGACCAGACUCCUACGGAAGGCAGCAG
rnacentral:rRNA from 1 species